CCUGCUUACACAAUGCUGGAGACUGUACUAACAGAAUUACAAGCAGCUGCAGCCCUGCACUAAACAGGGGCUGCGCAUGGAGAUAGGGGUGGAGCUCAAUAUGAUGAAAACAAAUGUCAUCCUUGUUAAAAUCCAUAUAUUACCUAAGGUGGUGUGAGCUAAAAAGGACCAGAUUGGGGUAUAGCCCAGGUAUGCUCCAAAGCUAAGAGGUAGAAACUGCAGAAGAAAGAAGGAUUGGAAUAAAUCACCAGUGCACACAAAACAAGGACAGUCCUGCCUGAACUGAUGCUUUUUUUUCUUUAUCUUUUCAGAGAUGGGUUCAUUGCAGCUGCUUCUGCUCACUGAAGUCUAGCAAUCUUCUACUUGCAGGAAUUGUUGCCUACUGAAUUCAGUGCCAGGGAUUUAUGGUAUCACAUCACAGACAUAAUAAAUAACAGAAUUUCUACUAAUUAGACCAAGGACACAACUCAUCUGAGUUUUGACACAAAAUUUCAUAGCAUGCCUGAGUUAUGGUUAUGAGUUAUGAGGGCAUGGUUGAUACCACACUGAUAAGGAAGAGAAACCAACAGACUAUCCAGAGAUGGUCUGUUUUGGCAAUUUCUAUGUGUAAGAUAACACUAUAAUAUAGGUAUCCUGCUAUCUUUGAUUUAGAGAAACUAUGGAGACACUCCCAAUUACAGUGGAGACCAAACCACCACAGCAGCAUCAGCAAUCACACACACUUGGACUUAACCUAUCUUUGCAUGACCAACCAUUUGGUUUAAUAGCAGAAUUUCAGGACUGUUGGCUUCAGCUGGAGCAGGAGCCUUCUGGAAGGGCUCUGCAGUGGCAGAUGGUGGUUGUGGCCCCACGUUCCCAAGAAUAUUGGCCCCAAGCUCUGCUCUCCCAUGGGUGCCUCAAGCAACAGGAGUCCUCUAUGCAGACACAGGAGGGAGAAGAGGUGACGUGAAGAAAUAGGUCACAUAUGUUUCACACAGACUAUACAAGAUUUCAUAGAAUUAUAGAAUGAUUUGGGUUGUAAGGAACUUGACAAGUUUCUGUUUAUGGAGGGAAAGAAAAUGCAAGUGAGACCCAGAGCUUAACAGAGUAACCCUCUGGGUUCAAUCAACAACAAGGCAUGGUACAAAGAAAGGCUCGCUCUCACUGUCUUGUUUGGCUUGUUUUAUUUUUCUCCUGGGUAAAUUGAUUCUUCCACUCACUGCCGUGCUGUAAUUUGCUCAUAGUAUUUCAGUAUGAUUGCAAUCACUAUUAGACUGAAAAAGUGAAAAAGUAAGACUGGAAAAA
rnacentral:lncRNA from 1 species